GAUGAAGAACGUAGCGAAAUGCGAUACUUGGUGUGAAUUGCAGAAUCCCGUGAACCAUCGAGUCUUUGAACGCAAGUUGCGCCUCAAGCCAUUAGGUUGAGGGCACGUCUGCCUGGGCGUCACAUAUCGUUGCCUGAUGCCAGUUUCCUCGUGAUGGGUGACUGUGCAGGGCGAAUGAUGGCUUCCCGUGAGCAUUGUUGCCUCAUGGUUGGUUGAAAAUUGAGUCCUUGGUAGGGAGCGCCGUGAUAGAUGGUGGUUGAGUGACGAACGAGACCCAAUCAUGUGAGACCCCUACCGAAUUUGGCCUUCAUGACCCACAUGCGUCUUGGAACGCUCAUGACGAGACCUCAGGUCAGGCGGGGCUACCCGCUGAGUUUAAGCAUAUCAAUAAGCGGAGGA
rnacentral:misc_RNA from 1 species